rnacentral:rRNA from 1 species
AUACGGAGGAUGCAAGCGUUAUCCGGAUUUAUUGGGUUUAAAGGGUGCGUAGGCGGAUGAUUAAGCGUGAGGUGAAAUGCCACUGCUCAACAGUGGAACUGCCUCGCGAACUGGUUGUCUUGAAUGCUCCUGCCGUGGGAGGAAUGUGUGGUGUAGCGGUGAAAUGCAUUGAGAUCACACAGAACACCGAUUGCGAAGGCAUCUCACGAAGGGGUGAUUGACGCUGAGGCACGAAAGCGUGGGGAUCAAACAGGAUUAGAUACCCUGGUAGUCCACGCAGUAAACGAUGAUAACUAACCGCUGGGUCGUAGUGAUUCAGUGGCCAAGCGAAAGCGAUAAGUUAUCCACCUGGGGAGUACGACCGCAAGGUUGAAACUCAAAGGAAUUGACGGGG